UACGUAGGGUGCGAGCGUUAAUCGGAAUUACUGGGCGUAAAGGGAGCGUAGGCGGGUUAUCAAGUUGGAGGUGAAAGCCCAGGGCUCAACCUUGGAAUUGCCUUCAAAACUGAUAGCCUAGAGUAUGAUAGAGGUAAGUGGAACUCCGAGUGUAGAGGUGAAAUUCGUAGAUAUUCGGAAGAACACCAGUGGCGAAGGCGACUUACUGGAUCAUGACUGACGCUGAGGCUCGAAAGCGUGGGGAGCAAACAGG
rnacentral:rRNA from 1 species